CUCUUUACACAUGAAUGAAAUCACUCAAAUAUGUAUAUCUUUCUAAAAUCAUGUUAUUCCCCUGCUUCUUGAUAUAGGAUUUUACUCAGAUUAGUACACAGUGCCAUCAUUAAGUGAUGUGGUUGGUGGGCUUAUUUCAGAGUUCAGAUUGUCUGCGUGUUUACUUACUUUUAUAAUCACUGGAUAGAGAAGGAAAGAUAUGAUAGGGAAAUAAGAAAGGUCAAAAGGAGAGGAAGGUGGAUGCAUCAAUUUAAAUCCUAAACUAAAGCUUUCAAAAUUGUCUUUAGUCUGUGAGUAAAUUUUUGUAUCGUCUCUCCAUUUUUCCCUUCUUAAGUAAAGAAGAAAUCAUUAGCUAAUAAAGUCCAACUGUUUCUGAUCAGUUAAUUGUGUUAGUCAAGAAGGUUGUUUCAGAAUCAACAGUAACUUUUGUUCUCUUCAUGCUUGUGGCAAUGAUUGCUCAAAUACAAGGAGAUUAUUAGUUGGGGCAACAAUUGUUUCAUAUUGUGUGUUUGGCUCAAUGAUUUCGUAGCUUUUUAGAUCACUUUAUAGGUUGUUGGAUGUUUGUGAUUGAUGGGGAUGCGGAUUGUGGUUUAAAGUAUCUUGCAAUCUGAAUCCUGCCAGCUUCUACUAUUUCUUUGUAUCAUAUGAAUUCUCUUUUGUUUUUAGCAUUUAGGUAAAUGCCUUGGCUUUUGCAAAUUUGAAUAGGUGCAAGAUACUUGUACAUUACCAGUUGCGUGUAAUGAUUCUAUCAUGUAGUACAUUGUCUCCACUUCUUAGAAUUUCUCAGCCAAGCUAUUAUUGUGCAGGUUGUUAAUCGUAAAAGUGAAGGUUAUGGCCUUUCAGCUGAUAUAUGGAGUCUUGGAUAUACUGUGUUGGAGAUGUCAGCUGGGAUGAAUCCAUAGUCUAAUCUUGACCGGAUGAAAGCAUUAUGGAAAAUUGGAAAGGGGGAGCCCCCACUGGUACCUGAUUCUCUGUCAAGAGACGCACAAGUUUUUAUCCGUCAAUGCUUACAACCUAAGCCAGAUAAUCGCCCCACUGCUGCUCAGCUUUUACAACAUCCAUUUAUAUCUAGGCCGCCUCCUCAUGCGUCUUCUGGAUCAGUAUCUAGAAAUUGAAAUAGUAAUUUAAUCGCACUACAUGAUUGCAAUUGUACAAGGGUCUAAUCAUAUAUACAAAUUGUAAUUGUUAUACAAUCAAGAUCCUAUAAACUUUCCUUGCUGGAA